UGGGGAGCAAACUCUGCUGAGUGUGCCAUGGGAAAAAUGACCAACUUAGUAAACAGAGAUUUGCAGAUGGAGACUUCUUAACAUUUUUACAGGAAAAUUAAUAAAGGUGGCAAAGUGGCUCUUGCUACAAAAAUUGAACCAUCUUUGCUAGACUCCAGGUGCUCUGGCUUCACAGACAAAGCCCCAAACUGAGAAAUGUACCUGCUAAUAUAUUGGGCUCUAAAUGUAGCCCUGGGUUAAUUGAAGAACAAUCCCUGUACCUGAAGCACAUCUUGGAAGCCAGGCAGAAUCUGUGGAGCCGAUGGAGUUGUCAAGCUCGACUUCAGCUUCUUCCCAGCUAGAAGAAGCAAGGACACGCCGGCUGAGUUCCCCAGGCAACGCGCCCUUAUCUGUAGACGAGGAUUUUGAGAUGCUCCUUUGGGAACUCUCAGACGGCAUCCUCGAAGCCGAAGUCGACUUGGAGCCAGGGAAGGAUGAGGAUGACCUCCUCCUUGAACUUUCCAAGAUGAUUGACGAUUGAACUGCAGAGUCCUAUGGUAUAUUUAA